rnacentral:rRNA from 1 species
CCUACGGGAGGCAGCAGUAGGGAAUAUUGGGCAAUGGACGCAAGUCUGACCCAGCCAUGCCGCGUGCAGGAAGAAGGCGUUAUGCGUUGUAAACUGUUUUUAUACAGGAAGAAACGACUCUUGCGAGAGGCAUUGACGGUACUGUAUGAAUAAGCACCGGCUAACUCCGUGCCAGCAGCCGCGGUAAUACGGAGGGUGCAAGCGUUGUCCGGAUUUAUUGGGUUUAAAGGGUGCGCAGGUGGUUUAUUAAGUCAGUGGUGAAAGACGGUCGCUCAACGAUUGCAGUGCCAUUGAAACUGGUAGACUUGAGUAAAGUAGAGGUGGGCGGAAUUGAUAGUGUAGCGGUGAAAUGCAUAGAUAUUAUCAAGAACUCCAAUUGCGAAGGCAGCUCACUUGGCUUUUACUGACACUCAUGCACGAAAGUGUGGGUAUCAAACAGGAUUAGAUACCCUGGUAGUCCACACUGUAAACCGAUGAUAACUAGGUGUCGGCCGAAUCUGGUCGGUGCCACAGCGAAAGCGUUAAGUUAUCCACCUGGGGAGUCGCCGGNACGGUUGAAACUCGAAGGAUUGACGGCUUGNGAGNGCGAGCGACGACGAGGAGGAGG